rnacentral:misc_RNA from 1 species
GAAAUGCGAUACGUAAUGUGAAUUGCAAAUUCAGUGAAUCAUCGAGUCUUUGAACGCACAUUGCGCCCCCUGGUAUUCCGGGGGGCAUGCCUGUCCGAGCGUCAUUUCUGCCCUCAAGCACGGCUUGUGUGUUGGGCCCCGUCCUCCGAUCCCUGGGGACGGGCCCGAAAGGCAGCGGCGGCACCGCGUCCGGUCCUCGAGCGUAUGGGGCUUUGUCACCCGCUCUGUAGGCCCGGCCGGCGCUUGCCGAUCAACCCAAAUUUUUAUCCAGGUUGACCUCGGAUCAGGUAGGGAUACCCGCUGAACUUAAGC